GCGCCCAUAGCUUAAUAGGAUAGAGCAUUUGACUACGAAUCAAAAGAUUAGAGGUUCGAUUCCUCUUGGGCGCG
rnacentral:tRNA from 1 species